rnacentral:rRNA from 1 species
AGCGAACGCUGGCGGCAGGCCUAACACAUGCAAGUUGAACGAUCCUUCGGGAUAGUGGCGGACGGGUGAGUAACACGUGGGAACGUGCCUUUUGGUUCGGAACAACUCAGGGAAACUUGAGCUAAUACCGAAUGUGCCCUUCGGGGGAAAGAUUUAUCGCCAUUAGAGCGGCCCGCGUCUGAUUAGCUAGUUGGUGAGGU